ACCCAUUGGUGGUGUUAAGUACACCAAUUGGACGUUGUAAUUCGAUGGUUGUCUUUAUUGGGCGGGCUGUACAGUAGGAAUAGUGUCCACAGGCUUUACAAGACGCUAAUAUCUGUAUGCUUUGCAUAUACAGGUCAGGUUGCAGAGAUGCAGGGGAAUGGGUAGUUUUGGGGUAGAGCAAGUGAACUGAACUUCUGGGUUAGUGUGGCCUAAAUUGCUAUUCUUUAAAUGCACCUAACUUUAAUGAAAUAUUUGACAUAUUUUUGAGAAAACAGUUACAGUGUUUGAAUGUAUGAACGUGUGGCACUCGUCAGAGCUAUUGGAGUUAUUUUCUCGUAUUCAUUAUCUAUUCAAAAGGAAAUGUGGGAGACUGGUGAGUAGACUUCUGUAUCUUUAUCUGGUGAAAUGUAAUAAUUUCCUGAGUAUAUUUUCCAAAUGUUUUUGAAAUAGCUCGAUGCAACGUUGAAUUUGAUGAUGUGUUAGGCCUAUGUUGUAAAAUUACUUCCCUUGUGUUGAUCAUAUUGUAAUUUGACUGAUAGGAUUAAAUGAGAACCAUGCUAAAUAUUUUACAACCGAAAUGUAUCGAAAAUGUAGAUGAAUAUGUCAAGGAGGAGCCUGCCAAGCCAACUGAGAUUGCACAUAGUUUCGAAUCUCAAAGUUAUUUUCAGUAUUUGGAUGCACACUAUUUAGGCAACUUGCGCUGUAAAACAAUUCCUAUAGCCACAAUGAAGUUUAGCCUAUAUUUGCAUGCCAUGUUGAUAUCAAAUAGGAUGAUGAUGAUGAUGAUUAUUAUUAUUGUUGUUAUGAUAUUAUUGUGUUGUUACUGAAUAAUACAUACCGUAUUUGUUUCCCCCUCAGUUAUCAUUUGGUAGGAUUUAUUUUAUGAAUCUGAAAUCAGGUUAGCCACUGACUAACGUACAUUGCGCCUAUCCCAAUUCCACUGUGCGUGUGACAGCGGCUAACCUGGUUUUGGGGAGACUUCUCUACUGCCGCCGCGGGAAAGGCCUUGCCCAGACACACUUUACAAAAUGCAACAUCUCGUGCUAUCUGACACCUGUUAUGUGGGAAUAAUUAUUUGCUUCGGCAUUACUGCCCUCCCUGUGGCCUUUCUGAGUACUACUGUAUGUAGUACACUAUCUCCAGGCUAUACAGUCAGAGGCCUUUACAUUAGACCUACUAUGGAGUUGCCGUCCUAUAGGCCUGGCAUGCCAUCUACUGGGACUCUAGGCUGCUGGUGACUAUGGGAACUGCAGGGAUUCCGGGGCUUAUCUAUCUCCAGCCAAGCCAGACGUGCCCUGAUCUUGUCACCAUAAUCCAAUUCCACAUAAUUCAUCUUAAUAUCAGAACUGUCUAGUCCUUUCAAGUAGCUCUGACAAACAUAUGUACCUCAGCUACUCCCUCAACCCAUAGAGGUGAGAGUUAAAACAGGAAUGUAGAGAAAUGCCGAUUUAGGCAAAGUCAUUAGACAACUAUUGAAGGGUGGAAAAAGUAGAUAAAUAUAGAGGUGCAGAUACAGUAUGUAAAGGGAAGAGGAAUCUCUUUAUGUGGCAGCAAGGACAAAUAUUUACAGAGCUGUGGAGCAGCUAAGCAGAGUUUGUUUCAGCAUUGUGGCGGUUCAUGGGACUCCGUCAGACAGCCAUCAUGUUUAUUCUCACAGAUAUACACAGAGAGAGGGAGAAGGGUGGGACUGGGUCAUCUGACGUGGGUUCAGAGAGGAGGACUGUGUAACAUGAAUAGAGUCCAGAGUCGGGGUCAGCGCACUGUUUAUGAUAUCACUUACUGUAGUAGUGAUAUCACUAACAAGCUUCAUUACAGAAAGGCAAACUGAAUAGACAUUUGACUUUUCAUCACUAUCUACUCUGCUAAAUAUACUAUCAGGGCGGUCGGUAGCCUAACGGUUAAGUGUGUUGGGCCAGUACCCGAAAGGUCGCAGGUUCGAAUCUCCGAGCCAACUAGGUGAAGAAUCUGUUGAUGUGUCCUUGAGCAAAGCACUUAACCCUAAUUGCUCUGGAUAAGAGUGUCUGCUAAUUGAAUAAAAAACACGAUUGUACGGUC